rnacentral:rRNA from 1 species
GACGAACGCUGGCGGCGUGCUUAACACAUGCAAGUCGAACGGAAAGGCCCUGCUUUUGUGGGGUGCUCGAGUGGCGAACGGGUGAGUAACACGUGAGUAACCUGCCCUUGACUUUGGGAUAACUUCAGGAAACUGGGGCUAAUACCGGAUAGGAGCUCCUGCUGCAUGGUGGGGGUUGGAAAGUUUCGGCGGUUGGGGAUGGACUCGCGGCUUAUCAGCUUGUUGGUGGGGUAGUGGCUUACCAAGGCUUUGACGGGUAGCCGGCCUGAGAGGGUGACCGGCCACAUUGGGACUGAGAUAUGGCCCAGACUCCUACGGGAGGCAGCAGUGGGGAAUAUUGCACAAUGGGCGGAAGCCUGAUGCAGCAACGCCGCGCGCGGGAUGACGGCCUUCGGGUUGUAAACCGCUUUCGCCUGUGACGAAGCGUGAGUGACGGUAAUGGGUAAAGAAGCACCGGCUAACUACGUG